CAAGUUCGAGCGGAUGAGGGAGCUUGCUCCUGGAUUCAGCGGCGGACGGGUGAGUUAUUGCCUAGGAAUCUGCCUGGUAGUGGGGGAUAACGUCCGGAAACGGGCGCUAAUACCGCAUACGUCCUGAGGGAGAAAGUGGGGGAUCUUCGGACCUCACGCUAUCAGAUGAGCCUAGGUCGGAUUAGCUAGUUGGUGGGGUAAAGGCCUACCAAGGCGACGAUCCGUAACUGGUCUGAGAGGAUGAUCCGUCACUCUGGAACUGAGACACGGUCCAGACUCCUACGGGAGGCAGCAGUGGGGAA
rnacentral:rRNA from 1 species